UGCUACAUGGAUAACUGUAGUAAUUCUAGAGCUAAUACAUGCCACUAUGCCCUGACCCGCAAGGGAACGGGUGGAUUUAUUAGAACAGAACCAACCGGGGAUGCUUUUGUGUCCCUGUUGAUUUCUGUGAUGACUCUGGAUAACUUUACUGAUCGCAGUCGGCCUUGUGUCGGCGACGGAUCUUUCAAAUGUCUGCCCUAUCAACUUACGAUGGUAGGUGACCUGCCUACCACGGUGAUAACGGGUAACGGGGAAUCAGGGUUCGAUUCCGGAGAGGGAGCCUGAGAAACGGCUACCACAUCCAAGGAAGGCAGCAGGCGCGAAAAUUACCCACUCCCGGCACGGGGAGGUAGUGACGAAAAAUACGGAUACGGGACUCCUACGAGGCUCCGUAAUUCGAAUGAGUACAAUCUAAAUCCUUUAACGAGGACCAAUUGGAGGGCAAGUCUGGUGCCAGCAGCCGCGGUAACUCCAGCUCCAAAAGCGUAUAUUAAAGUUGCUGCAGUUAAAAAGCUCGUAGUUGGAUCUGGGUCGCGUGAUUGCAUGCCGUCGCUCGUUCUCCUGACCUGGUUGCGGCCGGGUCUGGUGUUCGGGUCGGUGUAGUGGUUGCGCAGCCUUUCAGCCGUGUCUGUUUUAAACGGGUGCUGGCUGGGUCGGUGAGCUUGCUUGUCGGCCUGUCGGCAUGCUUCCGGAUGCCUUUAAACGGGUGUCGGGAGCGGACGGCGCUUUUACUUUGAACAAAUUUGAGUGCUCAAAGCAGGCCUGUGUGCCUGAAAAAUCUUGCAUGGAAUAAUGGAAUAGGACUUCGGUUCUAUUUUGUUGGUUUUCGGAUCCGAAGUAAUGGUUAAGAGGGACAGACGGGGGCAUUUGUAUGGUGGUGUUAGAGGUGAAAUUCUUGGAUCGCCGCCAGACAAACUACAGCGAAAGCAUUUGCCAAGAAUGUUUUCAUUGAUCAGGAGCGAAAGUCAGAGGUUCGAAGACGAUCAGAUACCGUCCUAGUUCUGACCAUAAACGAUGCCAACUGACGAUCCGUGGUGGUUCUUUAAUUGGCCCCGCGGGCAGUCCCCGGGAAACCCUUAAGUCUUUGGGCUCCGGGGGAAGUAUGGUUGCAAAGCUGAAACUUAAAGGAAUUGACGGAAGGGCACCACCAGGAGUGGAGCCUGCGGCUUAAUUCGACUCAACACGGGAAAACUCACCCGGCCCGGACACUGUGAGGAUUGACAGAUUGAUAGCUCUUUCUUGAUUCGGUGGUUGGUGGUGCAUGGCCGUUCUUAGUUGGUGGAGCGAUUUGUCUGGUUAAUUCCGAUAACGAACGAGACUUUGACCUACUAAAUAGUAUGCCUGUCCCCUGUGCGCGUGCAGGUUGCGGCUUUCUAUUGCCUCUUCGUGGGGUGAUUAUGGGGUCGUGGAUCGGCGCGUACGGUGCGGGUGAUUACUUCUUAGAGGGACAAGCGGCGAAGCUAGUCGCACGAAAUUGAGCAAUAACAGGUCUGUGAUGCCCUUAGAUGUCCGGGGCCGCACGUGCGCUACAAUGACGGUGUCAGCGAGUCUGGAAACCUGGUCUGAAAAGAUUGGGCAAACUGUUCCAUCACCGUCGUGACUGGGAUCGGGGCUUGCAAUUAUUCCCCGUGAACGAGGAAUUCCUGGUAAGUGCAAGUCAUAAGCUUGCGCUGAUUACGUCCCUGCCCUUUGUACACACCGCCCGUCGCUACUACCGAUUGAAUGGUUUAGCAAGGUCCUCGGAUUGGUGUCGUUGUAGUGGCUUCGGCUGCUCGACCGGCGCUGAGAAGACGACCAAACUG
rnacentral:rRNA from 1 species